CCUCCGGUAGCUCAGCGGGAAGAGCAAGCAGAGCACAGUAAACUUGUAGCUGAAAUCGUGUUUGUGUAUCUCUGUGGACGCUGGUUCGAGUCCAGCUCGGAGGU